rnacentral:rRNA from 1 species
AACGAACGCUGGCGGCAGGCCUUACACAUGCAAGUCGAACGUGAAAGUCCUUUCGGGGAUGAGUAAAGUGGCGCACGGGUGAGUAACGCGUGGGAACGUACCCUUCAGUAUGGGAUAACAGCGGGAAACUGCUGCUAAUACCGUAUAUUCUCGAGAGAGGAAAGAUUUAUCGCUGAAGGAUCGGCCCGCGUCAGAUUAGCUAGUUGGUGGGGUAAUGGCCUACCAAGGCUACGAUCUGUAGCUGGUCUGAGAGGAUGAUCAGCCACACUGGAACUGAGACACGGUCCAGACUCCUACGGGAGGCAGCAGUGGGGAAUAUUGGACAAUGGGCGAAAGCCUGAUCCAGCCAUGCCGCGUGAAUGAUGAAGGCCUUAGGGUUGUAAAGUUCUUUUGACGGGGAAGAUAAUGACGGUACCCGUAGAAUAAGCUCCGGCUAACUUCGUGCCAGCCGCCGCAGUAA